GCGAUAGUAUUUAUAUUUUUAUAAGUGUCGUCACGUACAUUUUUUCCAGCAGCGAUAUGGAUCUUCACGUAUCCGCGAGUUUUUUUUUUUUAUCGCGUAUUGACUCACAACAGAGAUUCACGGAUCUGUCGGUAACUUCUUCUUAGAUUUUUACCGUCGUCGUCGAUGAAAAAUUGAUUCGAUGACACAGACAAGGUAAAUGCGACGCUUACGGCCGAAAAGAGACGUUUAUUUUUAUUUUAAUUCGAAUUCGGCAUAUUCGCUUUGUUGCGCGUCUAGACAAAACCCGCGUGUCCUCUGUGAUGUUUAUACGCGUAACGAACGUUGCGCGUAUAUUUGUUACCCCUCUUCUGUGGCAACGUUUUCAAAUUUCACUCGAAUGUUUGUGGUACACGCCCGAAAACGCAAAACGAUUUUACGAUCGAGAGAUCAGUCGCGCUGUGAAAGAGAUCGAAGCAUCGCGUGGUGAAACGAGUUGCUCAUUUUGAUUUCAGAUUUAAUUUUGUAAGAGUGUGUGACGACGGAUAUAAAAAUUUCACACAUCCAAAUAUAUCUAUUUGUUCGACGCAAAAUUUUGCACCGCGAGAAUACUUUGGGUGAGAACAAAAAUUAAUUGAAAGAAAAUAACAACAGAUAAGUCGCUAGGCGCAGGUAGUUCUUUUUACGAAAUUUCAAUUGAGCGAAGAUAUGCGUCAAAUCGCAUUGUUGGCGAUUUUAAUCGCUAGUGGUUUUGCGAUUGUCACGGGUAUCUCGCUAUCGCCGUCUUUUUACAACACGAGAUCGCUAGUGAUCGAGGACACAAAUUCGACAGCAAUGCAGCCGUUACUUAUCAAUAAUGUGACAACGCAGUCAUCGCUUGUCAAUGAAUCACAAGUUGAAUUCCGACAAUUCGGAGCUAUGAGCUAUACCGCAACGGAACCUCGUUCGGAUAACAAAUUUAGUAUGUUCGACUUGUUCUUUUCUAGAAACACCUUCGUCACCAAGUUGGUUCCUCUCGUCACCGACGUAACUCGAUACAGCGUUCACACCGCCGUCAUCAUGAUGCAGGGUAUAACGCUCGUUCUCGUAAUUACGGCUUUCAUCUCCGUACUCUGCUCUUACACGUCGUACUGUUUUGUCACUUACGAGGGAUUACAGAAUUUGCUAUCAGAGCUGCUGAAUUUCAAGAAAACACUGGAUUUUGCAUCUUCACUACUAGACAAAAUUACAAACAUAUAUUAGGUAAGAGAAAUAACUGAUUAUUACGGCGUCAUAAAUUCGAUCCUCAAAAUGAUCGAAGAAGGACUCAAAAUACAUACGUAACGACGACCGUCGAUGACAUUUGACGAACGAAGAUCAAUUGUGCGGCAAAGAACAACGAAGAAGAGGAUUUAGCGAUACGCGCGCAUUCGUGCGCUGUAACGUUUAUACAAAUUGUUUUUAUUGUGUAAUCGCUCGCCGAGCGAUGAUGCGAUACAGAAUGCGCACUUCUCGCGCGCCGCGCGUUAUAAUCUGUACAUAUGUUGUAUUUAUUUUCUUUCGAAUGUACAUACGAGCGAUUUUUUUACACGCUUUAUCUAAGUAUUGCGAGUGUAAGUUUGACAUGUUAGGCUUUGACCUUUCGAUGUAUGUAUGUGCACAAGAUAUGUUUCAAUACAAGUGACUUCGCACAAGCGUCUAUUUUUUCUUUUUAUCUUGCUUUCUUUUUCACCUUCCUCGCGGAUGAUGACGUAAUUGCAAGUUGGCAAAAUUCCUCACUUCCCAUCGUCCCAGUGUACUUCGUGACAAAUCGUGAUAUCACUCGGAAAUAUUUGUGUGUACUCUAGAAGUCAUCACGGCCCCGUCAUGCGUGAUUGCUCUAUCAGAGGGAAUCU